GUUAUCGUUUAUUUGAUAGUACCUUACUACUUGGAUAACCGUGGUAAUUCUAGAGCUAAUACAUGCUAAAAACCCCGACUUCGGAAGGGGUGUAUUUAUUAGAUAAAAAACCAAUGCCCUUCGGGGCUCCUUGGUGAUUCAUGAUAACUUAACGAAUCGCAUGGCCUUGUGCCGGCGAUGGUUCAUUCAAAUUUCUGCCCUAUCAACUUUCGAUGGUAGGAUAGUGGCCUACCAUGGUUUCAACGGGUAACGGGGAAUUAGGGUUCUAUUCCGGAGAGGGAGCCUGAGGAACGGCUACCACAUCCAAGGAAGGCAGCAGGCGCGCAAAUUACCCAAUCCCGACACGGGGAGGUAGUGACAAUAAAUACUGAUACAGGGCUCUUUUGGGUCUUGUAAUUGGAAUGAGUACAAUUUAAAUCCCUCAACGAGGAACAAUUGGAGGGCAAGUCUGGUGCCAGCAGCCGCGGUAAUUCCAGCUCCAAUAGCGUAUAUUAAAGUUGUUGCAGUUAAAAAGCUCGUAGUUGAACCUUGG
rnacentral:rRNA from 1 species